AACCUCUCUGGGCUUUGGGUUAACUCAGGUUCAAGAACUCUAUCUUUCACGGGGUUGUCCUGAGGAUUAAAUAAGCUAAUCUCUAGAGGAUGCUAAAAUCGUAUUUUCUGGCCAUUUUUACUAGUUGCAAAUAAUAGAAAUAAACUGCUGAUGAGGACCCCUGAAUAUUUCCAAAUGACCCUUUGCUAUCCCAUCAUCUCGGGCAUCAUGACAUCAGCUCGGAAGAAAUAAAAGGCUGAUUGUAGAAGGAACUAAGUCAGUCUGCAGGUUUCCUGGAUUCUUAGAAAGUGACAUCAUGUCAGAACUAUGUUGACUCUAUUGUCCAUUCUUUGCUAAAUAUUUGAUGGAAGCAUCUAGGCGGUAGAGGUCCUGACCUUCAGUGAAGCAGUGAAGGAGCAAAGCAGACAUGUUCCCACCUGCGUGAUGCUUAGACCAGGGCAGAGGAGAGUAAUGUCCUAAGUAACCUCAAUACCGGGCAACGCAGGUGGUGAGAGGGUUCAUACAGUAUCCUGGCCACUGACCAGGUAGGAGGCUGUGUCUUGCACAGCCCCAGCCCCGCUAGGUGCCCAGCACAGACCAGACAUAUAGUAGGUGCUCAACAAACAUCCAAGGAACUAGCAGAGACGGCACGGGCCCGUGUGUCUCGUGUUGUCCUUUACCUCCUACUCUUCAGAGCAAGGACGCUUGUCCAUCAUUUGGGUGACCCCAGCACCCAACGUCAUGCCUGCACGUGGGGUGGGAGGCGGAUGAAUGUUCGUUGAAUUGGUGCGAAUGGCUGCUAAAGCCUAGUGUGUCUCGCCCUGUUCAACUGUGGGGGCCUUUCUUGCUUCAACCCAAAGAGGUAGGAAACUUGACAAGCUUGGUAGCCACGUUAUUCUUAGGGGUUGGAUCUUUUCAUACCCAUUGAAAUGACAUGCGUCCCUGGUUUUCCGUGCGCUCUCAGCUGCCAGGUCCGCUUCUUUCUUCUUAAAACUCUUCUUCUUUAGGACCAGGGUCCCCUCGGUCCUCCCGCAUCCCUCUGGGACUUUGUUUAAAAAAUUUUUUUUUCCUUAAGUAUAGUUGAUUUAUAUUGUGUAUAUAUAUAUAUGUAUAUAUAUAUAUAUAUACACACACACAUUCUUUUUCUCAUAUUAUCUUCCAUCAUGUUCUAUCACAAGUGAUUGGAUAGAGUUCCCUGUGCUGUGCAGUAGGACCUCGUUGCUUCUCCAUUCUAAAUGGAAUAGUUUGCAUCUCCUAACCCCAAAUCCCCAGUCCAUCCCCCUUGGCAACCAAAAGUCUGUUCUCUAUGUCUCUGCAUCUGUUUCUGUUUUGUGGAUAGGUUCACUGGUGUCAUAUUUUAGAUUCCACAUAUAAGCGAUAUCAUAUGGUAUUUGUCUUUCUCUUUUCUGACUUCAUUUACUGUGAUAAUCUCUAGUUGCAUCCAUGUUGCCGUGGAUGGCAUUAUGUCAUUCUUUUUUAUGACUUAGUAAUAUUCCAUUGCAUCUAUGUACACUUCUUUUUUUAAAUUUAAUUUUAUUGGAUUAUAGUUCAUUUACAAUGUUGUCUUUUUGGUAUGCAGCAAAGUGAAUCAGUUAUGCAUGUGAAUGUAUUCAUUCGUUUUUCCCAUACCGGUCAUUACACACUGUUGAGUAGAUUUUCCUGUGCUCUACAGUAGGUCUUGUUAAUUACCUAUUUUACACGGUCGUGUGUAUAUGUUAUUCCCAUCCUCCCACUUCUUCCCUCCCCCCCCAGUGGUUUCACCUAUGUAACCAGUGGUUUUGAAAUCUGUGAAUUUGUUUCUAUUUUUUAAAUAAGUCCUUUUGUAUCAUUUUUAUUAGAUUCCACACGUAAGCAAUGUAAGCUAUAGUAUAUGACAUUUGUCUUUGUCUGACUUACUUCAUUCAGUAUGAUUAUCUCUAGGUCCAUCCAUGCUACUGCGAAUGGCAUUAUUUCAUUCUUUUUAUGUCUGAAUAAUAUUCUUUUUUUUUUUUUUGUCUUUUGUCUUUUGUCUUUGUUGUUGUUGUUGUUGCUAUUUCUUGGGCCGCUCCCGUGGCAUAUGGAGGUUCCCAGGCUAGGGGUUGAAUCGGAGCUGUAGCCACCGGCCUACGCCAGAGCCACAGCAACGCGGGAUCCGAGCCGCAUCUGCAACCUACACCACAGCUCACGGCAACGCCGGAUCGUUAACCCACUGAGCAAGGGCAGGGACCGAACCUGCAACCUCAUGGUUCCUAGUCGGAUUCGUUAACCACUGCGCCACGACGGGAACUCCUGAAUAAUAUUCUAUUAUAUGUGUGUAUAUAUAUGUAUUUCCCAUCGUCUUUAUCCAAUCCUCUGUGAAUGGACGUUUAGGUUGUUUCCAUGUAUGUCUUGGCCACUGUAAACAGUGCUGCUAUGAACAGUGGGGUGCCCUUUGUAUUUUUUCGAGUUGUGGUUUUCUUGGGAUAUACGCCCAGGAGUGGGGUUGCUGAUUCAUGGGGUAAUUCUCUAAUUAGUUUUUAAAGAAACCUCCUUACUGUCCUCCACAGCGGUUGCACCAGCUUUCAUUCCCACCCACAGUGUAGGAGGGCUCCCUUUUCUCCACACCCUCUCCAGCACUUACUGUUUGUAGGUUUUGUGAUCAAGGCCAGCCUGACUGGUAUGUGAUGCCUCAUUGUAGUUCUGAUCUUCAUUUCUCUAAUGAAUAGUGAUGUGAGCACUUUUCAUGGGGAUUUUUUUUUCCAUGUCUGUCUUCUUUGGAGAAAAGUCAGUUUAGAUCUUUUGCCUAUUUUUUUCUCUGUUUUUUCCCCCACGUCAUCUUCCUCCUCCAGCAACAUAGCAUGGUCACCUCCCAGCCUCAGUUCCAAGCCCUGUUGUAGACAUGGUUGCUGUUAGACCACUAAGUUUAGCAACCUGCUCCCUCCAGGAGCAAAACCACCCCUGACCCCAGAAGUGGACAGGUGGCCAGGUCAGAUUGGCCCAAGAAUGGGCAUGUGCCUCAAGCAUGGACAAGUCAAAGUCAUUCUCGGGCGGGAUGGCUGGACCCUGGUGUGAGAAAGCUGAGAGGAUGUCGCCCUGGGGCUGUUGGCAGCAAGCAGGCCCUACGACGGGGAGUCUACCUGCAGAAAAAAAAUGGAGACCGGCUGAAAUGAGAGGUGGGAGAGAGAGCAGGUGAGAGACCCAGUCUCAGAGGCUCUGGUUCCGGCAGCCCUUCCCCGGCUCUGAGCUCCCCUGGCCUCUAACCCUGAGCCUCCCCGCUAAGGUGAGCUGGGCAGAGGGGGUGCUCCUGCUGGCAAAGGGAUCUGCUGUCCCCAAAGGCCCUCCUUCGGAGACCUUGCGUGCUCUUACAUCUCCAGCCAAACCUCUAGGCAAACGGCUCCCCGUUUCUAUCCACCCUCCAUCUCUUCACAAGCCUGCACCCCACUGCCCACUCUCCGUGCUGGGCAUUUUUCCGGAUGUCACUGCCCCCCUCCGCUUCAGCAGGUGUAAAGCUCAUCAUUGCCAAGCUGAGAACCUUCUCCUCCAGGCUCUGUCUUGACCUGCAGGGUCUCAUCUCUCUCCCCCAACACCUGCCUCCCCUCUCUCCUUCCCGCCCCCACCUGCCACCAGGGUGAAGAGCUGCUACAGCUCCUGCCUUCACUCCGUUUCCUAAGCUGCCAUUCUUUCGGCCACCACGUCGGUUAGGGGCGUAGCUUCCCGAUGUGGCCCCCAGACUCAAUCCUUCUGACCAGCCGUGACCAGAGGGGUAAGCCUGAGAUUCUGUCUGCUGAAUUGCAUCCAGGCUUCUUAGCGGGGCCCACAAAGCUGCCCUCAGGCCAUCGAGCCAGCUUCUGGCCACGCUUCUCACCUGCAAGACCCCUGCUCCCUAACCCCACGCGCACAGCCCCUGCUCCCUCCGCUGCUCCUCUGCGGUCCAGCUCAGACACUGCUUUCCUCCAGGGAGCCUUCGCUCUCCCCCUCGGCAAAAGUGAACUCUCUCCUCCAAGGUCCCAGAUACCUUUUAGCCAAUCAAAUUACUUUAAACGAAGCUUUGUGGAUAUGGAGGAACGGCUGUGUGCCAGACUCUGGGGACUUUGCUAAGGAAAGUGGCCUCUGCUGGCACGGAGAUCUCAAUCCACUCACAAGAGACCAGGUCCCGAUGCAUUUAUACCGCCUUCUUGUGGGAGCAUGUUAGUCUCGGCCCCUUGGCCGCCUGCUUGGCAUUUCAGGAACAGGGCUCAUAAGACAGUUCCUGGUACCUUCUCCUAUAUGUAGUAAUUCCUCAAUAAAUAUUUAUUAGCUUGUAUAAGGCUGGGUCUUGGUUAGCAAACCCAUAAAGGAUAGAAGGUGUGAAACAAAUACUAUUCUUACAAUGAAGGUCCGGGCUUAAGACCAGUCUUUUCAAUCUGGUCAUUUUAACAGCUGUGUGUAAAGUUUACCAAAUUCUGCAAACCCAGUCACCGUCAUGAUACCACAAGCACCCUCUAGAGCAUAUGUGCUGUUAUUCCCCUCAUGACGGGGAGUAGAAGUCACAUCCUGCUUAGUUGCUCAUUUAGAACUGUGAGUUGCUACGAUAGAGUAACUUCAAGGGCCAUGGUUCAGGAUGGCAAUUCCAACUAGCCAGACAUAAACACGCUUCCAGUGUGGAAAUAGCUUAUUCGGAAAUUAUUUCCUGGCUUGAAAAUCUGUUUGCUAGAGGAAUUGGUGUAAAUAGGACAGAGCAUCUUUCACUAAAGGCAGCGAGUGAUUGGAUGGGUAAUGGGCUAAAAUUUUGGAGCAUUUGUGACCUACACUGUUUUAUAAAAUGGCAGCAAAUGAAUUUUCUGAAAAAGAAUGAAGCCUCCUGUGCAAACGCUUUUAAACGAGUUAUUUCACAUUUUUUUAUUCUUCAUCUGAGGAAUUCCACCUUAAUUAUCUUUUCUAUUAGCCUUGCCUUUUUAAUAGAGCUGUCUUUCUAUAAUGGAAUUUUUUUCCAUGUACAAAAUUUAGAGAGUUCAUCAAUUCAACUCAAUAAAGUACAUACACUUCAAGCCCACAUAAUUUUCUGAAAGAUACCUGUUUGAUGGACUGACUGUGACAUACCUACAUUUUACAUUAAAAAACAAUUUGCAUGGAACAAAAUUUAUUAAUAAAAACCAUUGUUAAGAUUUUUCAUAUCCAAUCCAAAAUGCUGACAGAAUAUCAUUCAAACCAGUAAGUAGGUGUUAUAGUCAUACAUCAUAUGAUUCAUAUAUAUAUACAUAUUUGGAAAGGACUCUUUGGGUUUUAUAUUCAAAGUCAAGCAGAGAACUCAGCAUCAGGUAAGCUAUGCAAGCACUUAUUGAAUGAAUGGAAGUAUGUUCAUCCACCUAGCACAUAGGUCAGUGUGUGGGCAGGCCGCUCAAGAUGGCUAUUGUCUUGCUGUCUGUGUCUCCUGUUUCACCAGGCCCUGCUUCACUCACAUGACCAGCCAAUCCUCUUAAUUAUAGGGCUUAAUUCGUCCCUUACAAUUGGUGAGCCCACCUGACAUCAAUUCCCCCUAUAAAUGGUGGCCGGCUUCUCCCCCAUCCCCCAGUAACGAAGACUGUUGCCAGGUCCUGCCCGUCACACACGCACAAGGGGAGGUGUCAAUCCAGGACCCUUUGUGUAAGAGCCCCCCCCCAUCUGUUAAACCCUUGAUGUCUCUGUCUCCAGGCUCUUUCUUUGGUCUUGAGGCUGGGCAACCCAACUGGUGUAGCCCAACAGUCAAGUAUAAAGAGUUAUAGAAAUAGGGAGUUAAGGGAUGCUUACAUAAAAUGAUACCACGUAAAAACUUUUAAAAUCAUGUUAUAUUAAUAAGAACAUAUAUUUUAAAAUAUAUGUUAAGGACUGAACUUUUAAAUACCUUUUUGUUACUAAAACAAUAUCCACAGCUUAUGAUUCAUUUAAUCAUAAAUACAUCAUAUGUAGAGGAUGUAUGAUGAAUAUUUACUCUUUUUCAAACUGAAAUCUGGCAGGUAGUUUCAUAAGCCUUAACAUUAUAAAGAGAGUGAUGUACUGAAAAUACCAAUCCCGUAUUAGUAAGGUUGAAACUGCAAGCUUUUUCUCUAAAAUUAUACUUUUCAGGAUACUGCUGCUAUGGGAUAACUUAUUUGGUAAAGUUUCUUGUAAACUAUUCUAGAAAGCUAAUAGAAGUAUUUUGAGUGACCAAGAUAACAGAUUUCAUUAUAUGGGCUCUUAACUACUUCAUUUUGGUUGAAAUGUUAGCUGCUGGACUAGUAUAUAAUUAUUUUCUCAAAAUGCAUAGUCAUGACUGUCAAUUUUUCCAUGACUAAUUAUACCCUGCCAGAUGUUUUUUAGGUUCUGCUAAGUCACAUUUUUCUCCUAGAACUCUGUGUUCCCACUCCAAUUUCCUCUGGCCUUUUUUCAUAUUUUGCCUUUUACCUGAAUUUUGAGUAAAAUGGUUUUCUUGCUCUCUUUACUAUGUCAUAUGAACAUAACAUUUUUAUAUGAAUUUGAAUUGCUCUCAAUCUCAUAUUCUAUCAUACAGCUGACUUUAUCCCUUUCCUGGAUAGAUUUUGUGCAAUUUAUCCUGAAAAGUUAUUCAGCCUUUUUAUGCAAGGAAAGCUAUUAACAGCUCAUGAGAUGACUGAAAAUCUUCUGAAUCACUUUACUAUCAAGUCUUUCAGGAAAACGCUAACAAGUUCCCAAGCUCCCGCAUUUGUUUUUUCUCUUCAGCCACAUUUCCUGAUGAGAUUGCGGGGCUGUAGCAAGAAGGAUCGCUAAUCAUGAAACGUCUGGAGCUUACACUCAAGCGAUGCCUCGCAAUAAAUGCUGGAUUUGAAUUUUCUUCCCGGUUGAGCCUUAUGGAACAUUCACUGCCAGCCACUAGACAGAGACAUUUCAAUGACAAGUUUCGUCUCUUGAAUGCCAAUGAAAAUAUCUGGCUGCAUGAUGGUUUUAAAAAGUAUUCAUUGAUUCAAAAUGUAUUAAAAGCCCAUCAGGUGCUU
rnacentral:lncRNA from 1 species